UACGUAGGGUGCAAGCGUUGUCCGGAAUUAUUGGGCGUAAAGGGCUCGUAGGCGGCUUGUCACGUCGGGUGUGAAAGCCCGGGGCUUAACCCCGGGUCUGCAUUCGAUACGGGCUGGCUAGAGUGUGGUAGGGGAGAUCGGAAUUCCUGGUGUAGCGGUGAAAUGCGCAGAUAUCAGGAGGAACACCGGUGGCGAAGGCGGAUCUCUGGGCCAUUACUGACGCUGAGGAGCGAAAGCGUGGGGAGCGAACAGG
rnacentral:rRNA from 1 species